rnacentral:rRNA from 1 species
UACGUAGGGUGCGAGCGUUAAUCGGAAUUACUGGGCGUAAAGCGUGCGCAGGCGGUUCUGUAAGUCAGAUGUGAAAUCCCCGGGCUCAACCUGGGAACUGCGUUUGAAACUACAGGGCUAGAGUAUGGGAGAGGGAGGUAGAAUUCCACGUGUAGCAGUGAAAUGCGUAGAUAUCGUUUGGAACGCCAAUGGUGAAAACAAGUUGCUGGGGAUGUGCUGACGCUGAGACACGAAAGCCAGGGGAGCAAACGGG